AUUGAACGCUGGCGGCAGGCCUAACACAUGCAAGUCGAGCGGAAACGAUCCUAGCUUGCUAGGAGGCGUCGAGCGGCGGACGGGUGAGUAACGCGUGAGAAUCUACCCAUGAGUGGGGGACAACCCGGGGAAACUCGGGCUAAUACCGCAUACGCCCUACGGGGUAAAGCAGGGGACCUUCGGGGCCUUGCGCUGAUGGAUGAGCUCGCGUCGGAUUAGCUUGUUGGUGAGGUAAAGGCUCACCAAGGCGACGAUCCGUAGCUGGUCUGAGAGGAUGAUCAGCCACACCGGGACUGAGACACGGCCCGGACUCCUACGGGAGGCAGCAGUGGGGAAUCUUGGACAAUGGGGGCAACCCUGAUCCAGCCAUGCCGCGUGUGUGAAGAAGGCCUUCGGGUUGUAAAGCACUUUCAGCAGGGAGGAAGGCUUACCCCUAAUACGGGUGAGUACUUGACGUUACCUGCAGAAGAAGCACCGGCUAAUUUCGUG
rnacentral:rRNA from 1 species